GAGUUUGAUCCUGGCUCAGAUUGAAUGCUGGCGGCAUGCCUUACACAUGCAAGUCGAACGGCAGCACGGGAGCUUGCUCCUGGUGGCGAGUGGCGAACGGGUGAGUAAUGCAUCGGAACGUAUCCUGGAGUGGGGGAUAACGUAGCGAAAGUUACGCUAAUACCGCAUAUUCUGUGAGCAGGAAAGCGGGGGACCUUCGGGCCUCGCGCUCUUGGAGCGGCCGAUGUCGGAUUAGCUAGUUGGUGAGGUAAAGGCUCACCAAGGCGACGAUCCGUAGCAGGUCUGAGAGGAUGAUCUGCCACACUGGAACUGAGACACGGUCCAGACUCCUACGGGAGGCAGCAGUGGGAAUUUUGGACAAUGGGGCAACCCUGAUCCAGCCAUGCCGCGUGAGUGAAGAAGGCC
rnacentral:rRNA from 1 species